GCAAGUCGAACGAGGUCCAUGGAGCUUCCUCCGGAAGACCUAGUGGCGAACGGGUGCGUAACACGUGAGAAACCUGCCUUGGACUUCGGAAUAACAGUCGGAAACGACUGCUAAUGCCGAAUAUCACCAUCACCUCGCAUGAGGAGAUGAUGAAAGGUCCGCCGGUCCGAGAGGGUCUCACGGCCUAGCAGCUUGUUGGAGAGGUAACGGCUCACCAAGGCUUCGACGGGUAGCUGGUCUGAGAGGAUGAGC
rnacentral:rRNA from 1 species